UCGAAGGAGUGAAGAACCGCGAGAGGGCUGAAAAUGAGCGACUCGAGCAGGCGCGCGCUGUAGUCGCCGAAAUUU
rnacentral:SRP_RNA from 16 species